AAGAACUCCUCCAGCUUGGGUCUUUCUUCUGGAGUGGCCUUAAAGAAGGGCUCACUCUGCUUUUGGAUGUCAUCCACGGAACUUCAAGUUAAGAUUCUAUAGCUACAAAUAUUUCACAAUUUAGACACAAGAUUUGGAAGAUUGAAACUGACAUGAAAGUCUUCUUCCUGAGGACUAGCACUCAUAAUGCAGUGUGUGUAUGAAGGUCAUGUCAGAGAAGGUGAAACAUGAAAGAAGCAACAUACUCUUCAACAUGAUGAAUAAUACUCACUACAAAGACAUGAGGUCAGAGGAGACUGCCAGAGUCAGUGGGAAGUCUUCAUUCUCUUCUCAGAUGCUCAUGAGACCUCAGCUGACCCUGAUCCAAGUGUGAAGAACCUUACAGCAGGUUGCAUCAUUUCUGACACGCCCACCUCUGUGAUCACCAGCAGCUAGCCAUCAAGGAGAGCAAAUCAGACAUUGCCCUUU
rnacentral:lncRNA from 1 species